AUACGGAGGGUGCAAGCGUUAUCCGGAAUCACUGGGUUUAAAGGGUGCGUAGGCGGCGUCGUAAGUCAGAAGUGAAAGGCUUCCGCUCAACGGGAGAAUUGCUUUUGAUACUGCGGUGCUUGAAUCAGGUUGAGGUCGGCGGAAUGUGGCAUGUAGCGGUGAAAUGCAUAGAUAUGCCAUAGAACACCAAUUGCGAAGGCAGCUGACUGGACCUGUAUUGACGCUGAGGCACGAAAGCGUGGGGAGCGAACAGGAUUAGAUACCCUGGUAGUCCACGCCCUAAACGAUGCUCACUCGAUGUGUGCCAUUGGGGUGCGCGUCCAAGCGAAAGCGUUAAGUGAGCCACCUGGGGAGUACGUCGGCAACGAUGAA
rnacentral:rRNA from 1 species